rnacentral:rRNA from 1 species
AGAUUGAACGCUGGCGGCAUGCCUUACACAUGCAAGUCGAACGGCAGCACGGGGGCAACCCUGGUGGCGAGUGGCGAACGGGUGAGUAAUGCAUCGGAACGUGCCCAGUAGUGGGGGAUAACUAGUCGAAAGAUUAGCUAAUACCGCAUACGACCUAUGGGUGAAAGCGGGGGAUUCGCAAGAACCUCGCGCUAUCGGAGCGGCCGAUGUCUGAUUAGCUAGUUGGCGGGGUAAAAGCCCACCAAGGCUUCGAUCAGUAGCUGGUCUGAGAGGACGACCAGCCACACUGGGACUGAGACACGGCCCAGACUCCUACGGGAGCAGCAGC